rnacentral:rRNA from 1 species
GUUGGGGUCGGAGAGUGGCGCACGGGUGCGUAACACGUAGAUGACCUGCCCUGGAGAGGGGGAUAACCACUGGAAACGGUGGCUAAUACCCCGGAUGUGGGAGGGGCUAGAGGCCCUGCCACUGAAGGGCUCGUAAGAGCACCGCUCCGGGAGGGGUCUGCGGCCCAUCAGCUGGUUGGUAGGGUAACGGCCUACCAAGGCGAAGACGGGUAGGGGGCGUGAGAGCGCGACCCCCCACACUGGUACUGACACACGGACCAGAUACCUACGGGUAGCAGCAGCAAGGAAUAUUGCGCAAUGGACGAGAGUCUGACGCAGCAACGCCGCGUGGAGGAGGAAGCUUUUCGGGGUGUAAACUUCUUUUCUGAGGAAGAAGCGGGCGCAGGCCCGUUGACGG